UACGGAGGGGGCAAGCGUUGUUCGGAAUUACUGGGCGUAAAGGGCUCGUAGGUGGCCAACUAAGUCAGACGUGAAAUCCCUCGGCUUAACCGGGGAACUGCGUCUGAUACUGGAUGGCUUGAGUUUGGGAGAGGGAUGCGGAAUUCCAGGUGUAGCGGUGAAAUUCGUAGAUAUUGGGAAGAACACCAGUGGCGAAGGCGGCUCACUGGCUCGUAACUGACGCUCAGGCGCGACAGCGUGGGGAUCAAACAGG
rnacentral:rRNA from 1 species